UACAGAGGUCCCGAGCGUUGUUUCGGAUUCACUGGGCGUAAAGGGUGCGUAGGUGGUGAGGUAAGUCGGAUGUGAAAUCUCCGGGCUCAACCCGGAAAUGGCAUUGGAAACUACCUUGCUGGAGGAUUUGAGGGGGAUUGGAAUACUUGGUGUAGCAGUGAAAUGCGUAGAUAUCGGGAGGAACACCAGUGGCGAAGGCGACUACCUGGCCUGUUUUCUUGACGCUGAGGCGGCGAAAAGCUAGGGGAGCAAACGGG
rnacentral:rRNA from 1 species